CGCGUCCUGAGGCGGAGGGCGCCGCGGGGCGGGAGCGGGGCAGCGGCAGUGAGGUGCGGAGCGGCGCGGAGCCGGAGCCAGAGCCCCGGGGGGCAGGUGGGUGAGGCGGGCCCGGCCCCGCGCUGAGGGGCGGCGGGGGGCGGCUGCCGGGCCCCGGCCGUUGCCGGGAGAGGUUCAGCUUCCCCCGCGGCGCCUGAGCGGAGCUCUCCUGCCUCCGCUGCCCACGGGACCGGCGGGAUUUGGCUGUAAGUUGCCCCGGCCCGCGUGGGUUUCUUCGGCUCUUCGCGCCUUGCUCGCUCCCAGCUGUCAGUCCCCGCCACACCCCCGCGCCCGGAGCUGUUUGCCCCGCGGCUCUGCCUCCAGACAGCGGGCGCUGGACUUUGUUCCCCUGCACCCAGACCUCCUCCUCCUCCUGCCGGCUCUUCGGCUGCUGUUCGUGCUCGAAAGCAAUCAGCUGUGAAACAGCGAUUCCCGAGGAGCACCCUGCAUCCUGUAAGCUGCUCCGUAGCGUUUAUCAAGGGAGAUUUCCACGCACUUUGCAAUCAGGCGAAAGGGAAAAAGGGCAGGGACUUAGUAGACGGCACUAAACCCGCACGCAGUUUAUCCCGCUCCUCGCUCCGCAAGCCCUGACCCUGGCUCAUCUGUGCCAAGUGACCCAAACAGGUUGGGGGCAGCGACCCUGCCACCCUGACCAGGUUCUCCCUCGGCGUGGGUGCAUGGUGGGGAUGUCGGCGGAGCCGCGAGGCCCUGAGGGACCCGGUGGUGCUGCACUACGGGGAGAGGGCUGCUGAAGGAAAGGGGCAUCGGGCUGUCCGGGGCCGGCUGCUGCCAGAACUGCUGGAGGGAUGUGCGAGAAGGCUUUCUGCCCCGCGGGACGGGGCUCCUGGGCCCUGCCGGGGUGACCUGUCCUGGCGGAGGUGCCGCAGCUCAUCGUGGAGGAGAGCGUCGAGCAGCAGGUGCGCUCCCGGCGUGCGGUGCCUUUGUGGGGACGUUCCUGGGAGGAGACCUUUCUGCGCGUUGUGGUGUGGUGAAACUACAGAAGAAGUUGAAUGUUUGCUUCAGCUGAAGAGAAUAUUUCCCAAGUCCUGGGCAGAAAAAGGGAAAAAGAGAACCAGAGGAUGGUGUGUAUGACAGGAAGCCAUGACUAGCAGUGUGAUUGUCAACAGGAAACAAAAAUUCACAGCCGAUGUGACGCUGCCAUCCAGCAUACUUGCUGUGUCGUGUUGCCUGCCGGACUUUGGGGCCUGGGAAGCAGUGUUUGGCUGCGUGAGGUAUUCUCCUGUCCAUUCAUCUGCUGGAGCUUGAAUUACUCUACAUCUGGUUAAUCCACUUGGCUGGAGUUGGCAGGCCCUGUUUUCUUCUCUUUACACCUGCUCCUGCCAAGAUCUUCGGCAGCCAUGUGGAGAAAGGUGUGAGGGUGAGCCACCCUCGGCGGCUGGCAGCUGAGCGCUCUUCAGACCCCGGACAGCUUUGAGGUGUCUUGGCUGUUCAGUGCUCUGCAGAUAUGAACGCUGAGCUUUUCUGGCACGUUCUCACGUUGGCCUGGUCGCUCUCACCAUGCUAGUACAUGGGAAGGAAGACUUCCUCUCAGACAUAGCUUACAUCAUCCUGGAACUGGUCAUUGCGGUGCUGGCCAUCCUGGGCAACAUCCUGGUCUGCUGGGCAGUCUACUUGAACAGCAACCUGCAGAACGUCACCAACUACUUCGUGGUGUCCCUGGCUGCUGCUGACAUUGCGGUGGGAGUGCUGGCAAUCCCCUUUGCCAUCACCAUCAGCACUGGCUUCUGUGCCUUCUUCUAUGGCUGCCUCUUCAUUGCCUGCUUCGUCCUGGUCUUGACUCAGAGCUCCAUCUUCAGCCUCCUUGCUAUCGCCAUCGACAGAAUCAUUGCGAUCCGCAUACCCCUCAGGUCAGGGAGAGAGACUUCUGCCAGCUUGGAUCCUGGGAGGAAUCCCCCUCUGAUCCCUGAAGUUAGAUGAAGCGACUCACUGCAGGUUGGAGUCUCGCUGAAUAGUGGCUGUGUUCUCUCUGUGCCGGAUGUAUGCCAGUGCUGUAAAACGCGUGUCCCUCUUCUGCUUCCUCGAGAGAUGCAUCUGCUGGUGUCAGCUUCCAGCUACAGAAAGAACAUUUUGGAGCUCUAUGAUCUUCACUGCUGCUCCAGGUGACUUAUUUGCUGUAAGUUCACACCAAGGCUCUGUAGCUAAAACAUCCUUCAAGAGCAUCUGAGGCUCACUGAACUUAGUCGCCAUCCCUGGUCUCCCAACCCUGAAUUCUGUAGAAUAUGAUGAUGUUGGUGCACAAAAGGAAUCUGAAGCUGCAUCAGUAUUCAGAACAGACUGGAUCUGGUCCCUCUGUGUUGUGCCUGCAGAGCACUGCCAGCCCUUCAGUCCUGAAGGUGCGUGCUUGUAUUCAACCUCCUCACCUGCUUCUCGCUUGGCAUCCCCACUCCAUCCCCUCCUGCUAACUGAAUAAGGAUCACAUGGAUAUUUCCUGGAUGAGCUUUUGUAACGCACUAAUUUGAUACACUCAGGGCAUCUUCCUGUAAUGAACGUUCCUGAGGUAAUUGAAGGUGAGGUUGCAUGGGUGAGGGGGAGAAGAGGGCAGGACUGCUGGCAGAGGUAAUUGGAGGAAUAGAAGAAAACCCUUUUGUUCCUGUAAAUCCUGAAUUUGUUGUGUCUCUGCACUCCCUGUCUACCCAGCUUCUACUUGCGCCAUGUCUUGAAGGUGGCUCCACUCUUCUUAUCCUCUUUUUCUUUUUUUUUUUUUUUUAGGGUAUUUUUUUCCAUUUCAGCUCAUGCAUCUGUUCUGCUGCUUUGUUCUUUCGGCUUUUCAUUUCUUUGCUUGUUUCUUCCCCUCUAUGUUCUCCUGCUUCCUGAAAAGCUGAUUGCUGCAGUGUAUGAAGGAGAGGCACUGGCCAUACCUGUCUGCACCAGCACCCUGUUACAUUCAUAGAAUCACAGAACGACUUGGGUUGGAAGGGACCUUAAAACCCAUCUAGUUCCAAACCCUGCCAUGGACAGGGAUGUUGCCCACUAGAUAGGUUACUCAGGGUCUUGUUCAACUUUUUGGAAUAUUCCAGCUGAUUCUCUCUGUCUUUGAGGAGAUAUAGGAGCAAGAAGGGAAGAGGGAACAGAACAGCACCACUGGGAGAAACCAGAUCAGAGACUGAGAAGCUGGGCGAAGAGGGGGUGUGGAGGCAGGCAGGGCCAUCCCGAGAAGUUUCCAAGAGGCAGCAGAGCAUGGCUGUAGAGGUAACUGCUCCUUUGCUUGACAUAUUGUUCCUUCCUGCCCUCUUCUUUCUUCCUUUUCACCUCAAAAUUACAUCUUGAAAGACGUAAAGAAAAAAAAUACCAGCUUUAAAGCACUUGUCAGCCCUUGCUGGCGGGCUCUCCAUGCCACAGCAACUCCAGUGCCCCCGUGGUGCCAUAUUCUGCUGUGUCCAGGACUCCCACCAGCUGCCCUCCCCAUGCUCCCUUCCAGCUGCCCACUGGUGCAGCUGUGUCUGUCCCACCAGCACACACCAGUCUCAGUGGAUCCUUGUUCCCAAAAAUCAGGGUCAAGUCAGCUCAGAAGGUGGCUUCCUCCUAGCUUUCCAGGUGCUACCACACCUUAAAUGUUCAGUACACCCACUUUUCCUUUACAUAUACAGCUCGUUUUAGCCAAAGGAAGAGGCAGCACAUUGGUCAAGUGGAGGGAGUGCCACCGGCCUGGCUCCUCUGACAGUUUUUGUGUGGAACUGCUCUCCUCAGACACAGACCUGUGCUCAGUAGGUGCCGGGAGCCAGGAAGCAGCAGCAGCAGCACCAAGCCUUUCCACUUAUUUGCAGAAUUUCCUUCUGCUUGCUGGGGGAGCAGAGAAGGGCUGUCCAAAGGGCUCGUUUUCUUCUAAGCAAGGUUGCUGGACUUGCAGACUAGAAGCCAUUGCUCUAGUGUUGGAAGCACGUGGUAGGGGACAGAUAACUUCUGGGGACAGGGUUUCUCCUCACAGAUCUAGAAGCUCUGGGCUGCCAGAACCACAGACACCGUGCUACCAGCGAUGUGCCAGCGAACAGACUAGGAAGCAUCUGCCGUGCCUUUCAGUAGCGCAAGCUUGACAUUUCACCCCUGCCUGUUUCUUUCUUUAGCUCCUUAACAUUUGGUAUUUACAGCGAUGUUUCGGUUACUAACUCGAUUGGAAUCAGCUCCCACAACGCCCAUCUCAUCUCCAGUGAUUGUCCAGAGAGGUCUCCCAGGCUCGCGGGGAGCUCGGUGUCACACCCACGGGCAACAGAUGGGAGGCUGUCACAGGACAGAGGUGGGAGGCAGCCGCCUUCGGGAUUAUCCAGCAGCAUAGCAGAAAAAGUAAGACCAAAACUGGCAGCCCCAGGGCCCAGUCCAGGCCUCUCUCCUGUCUCUGCAUCCCUAGUGAAACUCCAGAUUCAAACCAGAAUGUGGACUAAGCUGUUUUGAUAGCUGUUUCCUACCUGUGCCUGAUGGUAUGGGCUGUUAACGGCCAGGCUGUACAGCUGGGGAAACAACUUCCAAAAUGUGGCCCUUCUUAAGCCCCAGAUUUGGGCAUGUAACUUGGUGUAAGAAUUCUGCAGUGUUUGUAUUUGCUGAGAGUCAUUUCUAACUUCUCUUUGGUUGUAGGACUUCUGACAGGUUUAGGUCCGAUACUUGAGCUGCAGGACAGAGAGCAGAGAGAGCUCCCUCUGCUGUCUGUGGGCUUUCAGGUUCCCAACUAAUUUGGUCCCCACUAUCGAUGGAAGUCCCCGAGCAACAAAGAAGUUAAAAGGUGCUCGUGAAGAGAUGACAUCAUCUGAGCCAACAAAGCCACAAGCAAAAGAUCUGAUAAGCUAUCUAACAUGCAGAAAGCUUUGAAAGUGCAUAGUCCCACUCAGAUCAAAUGUUCUGACAGGGUGGAGAUGACAUCGGAAGCUGUUCAGUCUAUAGAUAACUCUGUAAAGGACCUAUAUCAGACGUUUUUGUUGCUGAUAAUACGCAAGGCCCGAUGCAUCUCACAACACCUGUGAGUAGCUCUGCUGGCUUCUGUGGCACUGUGGUCGCAGCCUGUAUGUGACUGUGACUUCAGGUUAGGACCCAGCCAAAUAAACCAUCAGGAAGGGGUGAAUGUUGCCAUUUUGGUGCUCAGCAGAGGAUAGACUAGACAGGGCAGGGAAACUCAUGCAAGAUGUCCACCCUGAUUAGGUUAUACCUGUGCUGCGUCAUCCUGUGAGGCGAAUGGAAUGAUGAAGUAAAAUCCUGCUCAGUCUGGGGCAGGAAGCUCAGGCCUGUAAAGCAGCUUGUUGUGCUGAUUUCCUGGUCAUUCGCUUCAGGCAGGUUUCCUCACUCUUAAAUGAAACAAUGGGGACUUGAUUGUCUUCACCAGGAUGCUCCUUGCUGAGGUGAUUUUACCCGACUUGACAUAAAGUCUAAAGCUCUUGGGAGGUGCUAAGAAGUCAGGUGGUGGGGCAACCAUAAAGGAUUUUUCAAAGCAACCAUGCAACCUAAGAGCAAAAGUGCCCCUAAAUAAUCCAGUCAUACUCUGAAUGUUGGGCUUAGUAAGGUUACUAGUCUGGGUCCUUAUUUGUUCUGGUGUAGACUGAAAAUGUUCUGGCUAGUUGAACGGGACAGUGUCCUGCCAGAACACACACAACAGGGCACUUCGUGUUUGUGAGGUCUCCUUUUUCUCUUGUAGGCUUGUGCCUAUCAUUUGCUUUCUAAUUUUUUCCCCCAGCUCUCCCUGUGUGUAGGACACGAUGUUGGAAUUGUGAAGAAGACAUUUCUGUGUUUCUCAGCUGUAGCAUAAUCAAUCCUUUGUUAUGGUAUUUCAGCUAGGUGCCCCUGAAGGGUGAGGAGCUCUGGUCAGGAGCAACAGGACUUUCUUGCUCUGACUGUUCGCUGGCCUGCCGACUCAUAGAAGUGCUAUUUUUUUUUCCACCUCGGUUAAACUGCUAGCGUGUCCCAGCACGCAUGAGAUAUGAAGGCUCAAUAAACCCAGAGGGCUCAUUGUUAAAUGGUAAGUCCUCCCGAGGGACCUGACAUUAGAUGGUUUUCAGUGCUUCUCUCUGUUGUUUGUCAUAAGAUGGACAGUGAGGUGAUGUGGCAGAACCCUCUGUAGCAUGGCUGGAAAUCACAGUGCUGUGGUUCUCUGUAAAGGCCCAAGAACAGCCGCUGCGCUGCUUCCUGUGUCUGAUUGAUGCCGAACCAUCAAAAAUAUGUUUUCUGUGGGUUAAACUGAACUCUCUGCGUACAAGAAAGGAAAUGAUCUUCUUAAAUAUUUCUUUUGCUGCUGAGUCCAGCCCUUGCUUUGCUAGCAGCUGCAUGUAUUGAACAAACCAAAAGAGAAUACAGUGUAAAAAAAAAAAAAAAAAAAAAAAAAAAAAAAA